AAUUCUCAACCUUUUCAGCUUUCUUUGUUGAUCAGGCUUGGAUGUGGGAGUAUGCGGGCUUCUCAGAAGUCGGCUCUCCCGAAAUGCAUUAGCGGGACCUUUGUUGCCUGGCUUUGGUGUGAUAAUUAUCUACGCCAUUGUAGUCAAGCAGCUUAAAAUGAGGUUUCAGCUUCUAACCGUCUCCCCUGAGACAACUUUUUGACA
rnacentral:misc_RNA from 1 species